CUUAGAAAAGUGCCCAAU
rnacentral:siRNA from 1 species